rnacentral:rRNA from 1 species
AUUGAACGCUGGCGGCAUGCCUUACACAUGCAAGUCGAACGUUAACAGGUCUUCGGAUGCUGACGAGUGGCGAACGGGUGAGUAAUACAUCGGAACGUGCCCGAUCGUGGGGGAUAACGAGGCGAAAGCUUUGCUAAUACCGCAUACGAUCUACGGAUGAAAGCGGGGGAUCUUCGGACCUCGCGCGGACGGAGCGGCCGAUGGCAGAUUAGGUAGUUGGUGGGAUAAAAGCUUACCAAGCCGACGAUCUGUAGCUGGUCUGAGAGGAUGAUCAGCCACACUGGGACUGAGACACGGCCCAGACUCCUACGGGAGGCAGCAGUGGGGAAUUUUGGACAAUGGGCGAAAGCCUGAUCCAGCCAUGCCGCGUGCAGGAUGAAGGCCUUCGGGUUGUAAACUGCUUUUGUACGGAACGAAAAGCCUCUUUCUAAUAAAGAGGGGUCAUGACGGUACCGUAAGAAUAAGCACCGGCUAACUACGUG